GACGAACGCUGGCGGCGUGCUUAACACAUGCAAGUCGAACGGUGAAGCCCUUCGGGGUGGAUCAGUGGCGAACGGGUGCGUAACACGUGAGCAACCUGCCCCUGGCUCUGGGACAACCACUGGAAACGGUGGCUAAUACCGGAUACGACCCGCCUCGGCAUCGAGUGUGGGUGGAAAGUUUUUCGGCUGGGGAUGGGCUCGCGGCCUAUCAGCUUGUUGGUGAGGUGAAGGCUCACCAAGGCGACGACGGGUAGCCGGCCUGAGAGGGCGACCGGCCACACUGGGACUGAGACACGGCCCAGACUCCUACGGGAGGCAGCAGUGGGGAAUAUUGCACAAUGGGCGAAAGCCUGAUGCAGCGACGCCGCGUGAGGGAUGACGGCCUUCGGGUGGUAAACCUCUUUCAGCUCCGAAGAAGCGAAAGUGACGGGAGGAGCAGAAGAAACACCGGCUAACUACGU
rnacentral:rRNA from 1 species